rnacentral:rRNA from 1 species
AGUGAACGCUGGCGGUAGGCCUAACACAUGCAAGUCGAGCGGCAGCACAGUAAGAGCUUGCUCUUACGGGUGGCGAGUGGCGGACGGGUGAGGAAUACAUCGGAAUCUACUUUUUCGUGGGGGAUAACGUAGGGAAACUUACGCUAAUACCGCAUACGACCUACGGGUGAAAGCAGGGGAUCUUCGGACCUUGCGCGAUUGAAUGAGCCGAUGUCGGAUUAGCUAGUUGGCGGGGUAAAGGCCCACCAAGGCGACGAUCCGUAGCUGGUCUGAGAGGAUGAUCAGCCACACUGGAACUGAGACACGGUCCAGACUCCUACGGGAGGCAGCAGUAGGGAAUAUUGGACAAUGGGCGCAAGCCUGAUCCAGCCAUACCGCGUGGGUGAAGAAGGCCUUCGGGUUGUAAAGCCCUUUUGUUGGGAAAGAAAAGCAGCAGGUUAAUACCCCGCUGUUCUGACGGUACCCAAAGAAUAAGCACCGGCUAACUUCGUG